GCGUGAGCCACCGUGCCCAGCCACAAUCGGCUUUUUAUACUUAAUAUCAUAAAUAUUUCCCAUGUGGCCAGGUGCAGUGGCUCACGCCUGUAAUCCCAGCACUUUGGGAGACCAAGGCAGGUGGAUUACCUGAGGUCGGGAAUUUGCGACCAGCCUGGCCAACAUGGUGAAAUCCCGUCUCUACUAAAAAUACAAAAAAUUAGCAGUGAGCGGUGGCGAGUGCCUGUAAUCCCAGCUAUUUGGGAGGCUGAGGCAGGAGAAUCUCUUGAACCCAGGAGGCAGAGGUUGCAGUGAACCGAGAUCGUGUCAUUGCACUCCAGCCUGGGCAACAAGAGCAAAAUUUCAUCUCAAAAAAAAAAAAAAAAAAAUGAAGGUUAAGAUGUAGAUUUUUUGUUAUGUGUAUUUUACCACAAUUAGAAAAAAAUGCUCUGAGGUUUUGUAGUUACCGGGCUGGGGCACCACCUAGAGAACGGUGCCCACUGGGCAUGGAGGGCAUAGAGCCCUGACUCCAGAAUUCCUGGUGUGCCCCCAGCUGCCCUAAGGGGUCCUGGCCCAUGCCUUCUCUUUGGGCCUCACCUGUCAAAUGCUAAGCAGAUCCAUGGAAUGGAAGAUGUCCACGCUUCCUCCUGGCCCUGAUGAGCUAAGAUGAGAAUUAGAACAAAAGCGUGUGCUUUUAAAAAAGUAGAUAGAGAAUUAAAAAUACAAUCAAAAAUCACACUCACUAUUCCAAGAUUAAAAACAUUCUUUAGAAACUGGGCUUAUUAGAUGACAUACUUCCUGCAUUGUGUGGGAGGGGAGGGGGCCGGGUCACCGGCGCUCUCCAUAGGGGGCAAGCAGGUGAAAUGAUUAUGAAAUAUGUCAAGAAAAUGGUCCUUUUUUCUCGCCAGGAGAUAAGGAAAGGUAAUUUGGUCUGUCAGUCGCGCACACAGAAGACGUCAUGGUCAACUGCAUUAAUACUGAAUACUUUGUCCAGAGUCACAGAGCUCAAAGAAAUUACAGAAUCUUUCUCCUGUGAAUUCUGGCACUACUCUCAGCAGGCCUUUUCCCACCUGAAUUCACAAGAGAGAUUAAUAAUAAAAGGCAGGGCUGACGGUGGGACCAGAGCUGCUUUUCCUGGGACCCCCUCCUCCAGCCCACCGGUUCAGCCUCAUCUCUUGCCACACCCUCCCCGGUCCGGCUUCAGCCCAACUCAAUCCCAGCUGUCCUGCUCUCUCUUCUUCCUACGGGCUCCUCUCCCAUAGACGCCAGUCAAAGCCCACCUGCCCAAGCCACCUCCUCUGGGACAUCUCUCUCCAGUCCCGAUCACCUCCCGUCUGACUGACGCUCCCUCUGCCCCCACGUGCUCACACUUCUUUUUGCAGUUGUUGUGAGGAUUGUGUGUCCCUAUCUCCCUUCCCCAAACACCCCAGACCUCCCCGAAGGACAGACUUGCCCAGCUGGCCUCUCCCACGGUGUCCAGCCCAGGGUCUGGCACUUCGCAGUGGAAGGGGUGAGUUCACGAGGCGUCUACAAGCUUUCUCUCUUCUGAUCUAAUAAAAGGGUAUCUGUGGUAGAUUCUUUCUUUUCUGUAUUUUUUGACCUGGCAGGGGUGAAGAUGUGUGGUUAGGGUUGGGAGUAGACAUUGGGAUGCUCUCUAAACCCGUUGUGAAGCUGUUAAAUUGCAAGAAACCAUCUUCCUCUCCACCCUCCAUUCCCACCCUAUUCCCACAGGGUGAACAGGAAGCGCCCACUCAGAGCCCUUAUUCCAAAGGUGGAAAAACCUCUUCCCUUUGCUGCUUUUGGGGACUCAUCAGUCUCUGGAACAAUUAAACCUCUUUCAAUGCAGUUAUAUUCCCUCAUGUAAUAAGUACUGCAUUAUUUUUAGACUGUUUUACCCAAUUAAUUUUAUUAUCAGUUAAUUAUGUAUUACCACCUUAAGAAAAUGAAUAUUUGCCCAGUUGCUUAAGCUAAAUCAUUAAAUAUGUAUGAAUUCCUUUCUUUAAAUGUACACCUGUUAUCUUUUACAGAUGCAGAAGACGUGUUUGGAGCCAUCUGUGCCUCUGAAACAGACCCCCAUACAAAAGUGCUGUCUUGGCCCUACGAGACAGCUCAUGUGGGGCUGGGAGGCACCUGGGAAGUGAGGCCCACAAACAUGUCAGAGAUCUCGGCCUCAGCACCAGAGUGACAUCAUUUGAGAAAGACUGUUCUAGUCCAACCCUGCAGUUUUAUAGAUGGAGAAACUGAAGCCCAGAGACGGAAAGUGAUACUGAAAGUGAUUUCAACAGCUGGACUCAGAGUUGGUCUGAGACUCCUGGUCUGACACCUUUGAAUUCGGUCAGGUGAGGAACUCGGGAAGGUCUGCAGGUGGCGCUGCUUCUAAAGGGCCUUCGGGACACUUGGGCUCAAUUUUCUCACUUAACCUUGGGUUUCUGAUUGAGAGUGGGAAACGCUGCUUUUCCUGAUCUCAAAGGCGAAGGUUCCACCAAAGUUGUUCACACAAGUGUUAUAAGAGAAAAAUUUUAAACAAAUUAAAAUGUGGUACAU
rnacentral:lncRNA from 1 species